AGAGUUUGAUCCUGGCUCAGGACGAACGCUGACGGUGUGCUUUAGGCAUNNAAGUCGAACGAGAAAGCCCUUCGGGGUGAGUAAAGUGGCGAACGGGUGAGUAACACGUGGGCAACCUGCCCCUCGCAGGGGGACAACCGGAGGAAACUCCGGCUAAUACCCCGUAAGCUCUACACGCCGCAUGGCGAGUAGAGGAAAGGUAGCUUCGGCCAUCCGGCGAGGGAUGGGCCCGCGGUGCAUUAGCUAGUUGGUGGGGUAACGGCCCACCAAGGCGACGAUGCGUAGCUGGUCUGAGAGGAUGAUCAGCCACACUGGGACUGAGACACGGCCCAGACUCCUACGGGAGGCAGCAGCCAGGAAUCUUGGGCAAUGGGCGAAAGCCUGACCCAGCAACACCGUGUGGGUGAUGAAGGCCUUCGGGUCGUAAAGCCCUGUUGAUAGGGACGAAGGGCGAAGGGUUAAUAGCCCAGAGCUUGACGGUACCUUUCGAGGAAGCCCCCGGCUAACUACGUGCCAGCAGCCGCGGUAAUACGUAGGGGGCGAGCGUUGUCCGGAAUUAUUGGGCGUAAAGAGCGUGUAGGCGGUUCGGUAAGUCUGUCGUGAAAUCCUGGGGCUCAACCCUGGGCGUGCGAUGGAUACUGCCGGGCUAGAGGGUGGUAGAGGCGAGUGGAAUUCCCGGUGUAGCGGUGAAAUGCGCAGAUAUCGGGAGGAACACCAGUAGCGAAGGCGGCUCGCUGGGCCACACCUGACGCUGAGACGCGAAAGCUAGGGGAGCGAACAGGAUUAGAUACCCUAGUAGUCC
rnacentral:rRNA from 1 species